rnacentral:rRNA from 1 species
ACUCAAAGGAAUAGACGGGGGCCCGCACAAGCAGUGGAGUAUGUGGUUUAAUUCGAAGCAACGCGAAGAACCUUACCGGGGCUUGACAUGGAGGCGACGUUAUCAGAGAUGAUAAUUUCUUCGGACGCCUCACACAGGUGGUGCAUGGUUGUCGUCAGCUCGUGUCGUGAGAUGUUGGGUUAAGUCCCGCAACGAGCGCAACCCCUAUUGUCAGUUGCCAUCAUUUAGUUGGGAACUCUGGCAAGACUGCCGGCGACAAGUCGGAGGAAGGUGGGGACGACGUCAAAUCAUCAUGCCCCUUAUGUCCCGGGCUACACACGUACUACAAUGGCCGUUUAACAGCAGGAAGCGAAGCAGCGAUGUGGAGCAAAUCCCCAAAAACGGUCUCAGUUCAGAUUGCAGGCUGAAACUCGCCUGCAUGAAGUCGGAAUUGCUAGUAAUCGCGAAUCAGCAUGUCGCGGUGAAUACGUUCCCGGGCCUUGUACACACCGCCCGU